ACUUCGAAAUUGUCGCCACUAAAAGCCUAUCCGUGUCCAACUUUUGAGAAUUACUCCCUGACCAUUGAUCUGAAAGCAAUCCGACGGCCCAGCUUUUAUCAUCCCUUAAAGGUGAAUAAAACAUUUAGCGGGCAACCAUUCUCCCAUUUCCCCCCCAAAUCGUUCACCUGCCUCCCCCAAACCCUACGACGCCACCACCACUAGAACAAUCUGCAGUUAACCGGCCACCACCACCCUCCGGAUACAGCUCGCCAACACCAGAACCUGCAGUCACCUCCUCGCUGCUCCACAGCCGCCGCUGCACCUGCAGGAUUGUUUCAUUUUUCUCUUUUUUACGGUGUGGAUUGUGUGCAAUUGUAGGUAUACGGUGGUUGGCUUGAGGUAGCACCGUCAUAUAUUUGGUUGCAAUGUUUCUGGUGAUUCCACUAUUUAAGAUAGCAGAACUAGUUGACUUGUAUUUUUCCGUCCCAUGUGGCCUUGCAAGGUGGAGGCUGAGGUGGUGGUCGAGUGAGGUGAGGGAUUACGUCGCUUAACCUGGUUACAUGGCUUGACACUUGAGCUUUAAUGGUUGACAUGGAUCUGCCAUCUUAAAAAGUCGAACUAUUUAACCUGGUUACAUGGCUUGACAAUUGAGCUUUAAUGCUUUCGUCUUUUCAAUUCGUCAUCCAUAUACUUUUGUCAAUACUUUUUGUGUAUAAGCUGAACAUGGGAGUCUCGGGUGCCAUGAUUGCACUCUCGAUUUCUUCGUGGUUUCUUAUGAUCGGAGAAUUUAUAUACAUUUUUGGAGGAUGGUGUCCAGAUUCUUGGAAAGGAUUCACAGUUGCUGCUUUUAAGGAUCUUGUUCCUAUCAUAAAGCUCUCAAUACCUCUGCUUGGAGCUAUGGACCUAUGGUACUAUGCUGUUCUGAUCUUACUUGCUGGAUACAUGCCAAACACUGAGGUAGCAAUAUCGGCAUUCUCCAUUUGUGUCCGGGUGGCGAAUGAGUUAGGGCGAGGAAACGCGAAAGCAGUGAAGUUUUAUCACCGGCAGUUGGUCACGGAAUGGUCCAAUAGAUGACAGAGGAGGUCUGUGAGCAGUGUCCUAAUGUAAAAUAUGUAAGGGAAUGGCCGAAGGGGACUUUAUAACUGUGGAUAUAGAGAAAGGAAUGCAAGAUGCGGAGGAAGUGGUCUUUUAUGAGGAAGGGUGAACCAAUUAUAGAUGGUGAACCUGGAGAUUUGAGGGUUAGUUUGUCAUUAUUGAUGGCUUAAUUAUAGUCAUGCAGUUCCGCAUUCGUAUAGCGCCACACGACAGGUUUAGGAGAGAAGGUAAUAACCUUCACACAACUGCCACAAUAACUUUGGUAUCCCCCCUCUUUUCCUUUAGUGACUAAUGCUACCCCUCACAAUCAUGACACGUCAUUUAAGAAAGUAGAUGAUUUAAGCCAUGUUUGUUUGCUUGAUGUCUACUCUUAUUAUACAACGGAUCAAAAUGAGUCACUCUUGUGUAACUGCGAACUUAAAACGUGUCCAAAUAGGCUGGUUUAUUUUAUUGCUGUCAAAUGAUGUCUUUUAUUGUUGUCAAGGAUAGUGAAUUAUUAUCUUGAAUCCAUAGAUGAUUUGCAACCCUACUGAUCAGGCUAUAUAUGUGUUUAUAUUAUUGACAUGUACUUACACGACAACGGCGACUCUAAAAUGGGCUUUAGCUUUUCUAGUCAACCACCCUGUGGUCUUAAAAAUAGCCCAACAGGAGCUUGAAAACCAUGAUGGAAGAGAUAGGAAAGUUGAAGAGUCAGACAUGAACAACUUGGUCUAUCUUCAAGCCAUUAUCAAAGAGACAAUGCGUCUUUAUCGAGCUGCACCACUUUCUGUUCCACAUGAAUCCACAGAAGACUGCAUUGUAGGAGAAGACACGCAAAGAGGAGAUUGUGGUUGUAUUCCAUGGUGCAGCUUUGGUAGCUGUUGUUGAAGCUGCACGCAAUGCAGGAUACGAUGAAGCUUUGGUAGCUCAUUUGGCUUUAAAACCUAGCAAGGCAUGUAUCCGUUAUAUCCCGUUAUUCCUUUUUGUGCUCAACAACACGCGGGUUGAAAGCACUAGUUACUACUGUUUUAAUAUGGUGAUAUAAACAAACCGCUAUGUAAUUUUUGGCGACAUAUGUAAAUAGCAGUAAAUUAUUUUUUUAGGAAAAACUUCAAAAAAAAAGUGCAUGUAAUUAUAUGUAGGUAACAAUGUAAAUAGCAGUAAAUUAUUUUUUU